UACGGGCAUAUCACGUUGAAAUAUCGGUUCGCGUACGAUCAACGAAGUUAAGUAACAUCGGGCUUAGUCAGUACUUAGAUGAGUGACCGCUUGGGACUAUCAGGUGCUGUAAG